AUAUCAAUAAGCGGAGGAAAAGAAACCAACAGGGAUUGCCCUAGUAACGGCGAGUGAAGCGGCAACAGCUCAAAUUUGAAAGCUAGCCUUCGGGUUCGCAUUGUAAUUUGUAGAGGAUGCUUUGGGUAAAACGCCAGUCUAAGUUCCUUGGAACAGGACGUCAUAGAGGGUGAGAAUCCCGUAUGUGACUGGAAAUGUUAACCUAUGUAAAGCUCCUUCGACGAGUCGAGUUGUUUGGGAAUGCAGCUCUAAAUGGGAGGUAAAUUUCUUCUAAAGCUAAAUAUUGGCGAGAGACCGAUAGCGCACAAGUAGAGUGAUCGAAAGAUGAAAAGCACUUUGGAAAGAGAGUUAAAAAGCACGUGAAAUUGUUGAAAGGGAAGCGCUUGCAAUCAGACUUGUUUAAACUGUUCGGCCGGUCUUCUGACCGGUUUACUCAGUUUGGACAGGCCAGCAUCAGUUUCGGCGGCCGGAUAAAGGCUCUGGGAAUGUGGCCUCCACUUCGGUGGAGGUGUUAUAGCCCAGUGUGUAAUACGGCCAGCCGGGACUGAGGUCCGCGCUUCGGCUAGGAUGCUGGCGUAAUGGUUGUAAGCGACCCGUCUUGAAACACGGACCAAGGAGUCUAACAUCUAUGCGAGUGUUCGGGUGUCAAACCCCUGCGCGUAAUGAAAGUGAACGGAGGUGGGAACCGCAAGGUGCACCAUCGACCGAUCCUGAUGUCUUCGGAUGGAUUUGAGUAAGAGCAUAGCUGUUGGGACCCGAAAGAUGGUGAACUAUGCCUGAAUAGGGUGAAGCCAGAGGAAACUCUGGUGGAGGCUCGCAGCGGUUCUGACGUGCAAAUCGAUCGUCAAAUUUGGGUAUAGGGGCGAAAGACUAAUCGAACCAUCUAGUAGCUGGUUCCUGCCGA
rnacentral:rRNA from 1 species